AACGAACGCUGGCGGCAGGCUUAACACAUGCAAGUCGAACGGGCGUAGCAAUACGUCAGUGGCAGACGGGUGAGUAACACGUGGGAACCUUCCUCGUAGUACGGGACAACUCAGGGAAACUUGAGCUAAUACCGUAUACGUCCGAGAGGAGAAAGAUUUAUCGCUAUGAGACGGGCCCGCGUCCGAUUAGGUAGUUGGUGGGGUAACGGCCUACCAAGCCGACGAUCGGUAGCUGAUCUGAGAGGAUGAUCAGCCACACUGGGACUGAGAAACGGCCCAGACUCCGACGGGAGGCAGCAGUGGGGAAUCUUGGACAAUGGGCGCAAGCCUGAUCCAGCCAUGCCGCGUGAGUGAAGAAGGCCUCAGGGUUGUAAAGCUCUUUUGCCAGGGACGAUAAUGACGGUACCUGGAGAAUAAGCCCCGGCAAACUUCGUGCCAGCCGCCGCAGUAACAC
rnacentral:rRNA from 1 species